AAAAAUCUUUUUUGUUUUAAUGCAUCCCUGGCCUUUUUGCAGCGUUUUAAAGUCAGCUGUUUGAUAAGCUACAAUCGAUAGUAAAAAACGCGGGAAACUGUUUGUUUACUUUGAGAGCUUACCAAAUUGAAACUAAGUUCAAAAACUGAAAUCAAAGUAAUGGAAAAGAAAGGGCAGGGUAGAGAAUACUUAACCAAUGUGCCCGUCUCUUUUGGUCAAUAACUAAUUUUGUGAGCAAUUGUGCGAGAAAGUAAUUAUGUGAGGCGGAGUUCACUUAUGAAAAGCUGCUCAGUAUUUACAUUGAGAAUAAUCGAAGCGCCGCAGCACUUUCGAGUAGGAUUUUUGAAGAACUGAAGGCAUACAAAAUAAGCACGGAGAAAAAGGAUGAAAUAAAUAAUAAAAUGGUUAUCAAAGUUGAAAGAACGUCGUCAUCGAAUUCCAUGACUUCAACAUCAAGAUCAGUUGGACGCCCACCAAUUGAAUAUAUAAAUGCUGGACCCCGUUUGAAGAGAAAAUUAGCAUCAGAUUUAGCUGGCAAUCAAGGUCACAAGCAUACAUUACUUAA